AACGAACGCUGGCGGCAGGCCUAACACAUGCAAGUCGAGCGAGGACUUCGGCUCUAGCGGCGGACGGGUGAGUAACGCGUGGGAAUGUGCCCUUCUCUACGGAAUAGCCCUGGGAAACUGGGAGUAAUACCGUAUACGCCCUAUUGGGGAAAGAUUUAUCGGAGAAGGAUCAGCCCGCGUUGGAUUAGGUAGUUGGUGGGGUAAUGGCCUACCAAGCCGACGAUCCAUAGCUGGUUUGAGAGGAUGAUCAGCCACACUGGGACUGAGACACGGCCCAGACUCCUACGGGAGGCAGCAGUGGGGAAUCUUAGACAAUGGGGGCAACCCUGAUCUAGCCACGCCGCGUGAGUGAUGAAGGCCUUAGGGUUGUAAAGCUCUUUCAGCUGGGAAGAUAAUGACGGUACCAGCAGAAGAAGCCCCGGCUAACUCCGUG
rnacentral:rRNA from 1 species